AUGGUUUCAAUCCAGAUGAAUGAAGUACAUGCAGUAGAAGAAAUACUAGGAAGAGAAGAUAAAACUUUGGGAAACAAGAAGGCAAAGGAAAUAGAAUUUUCGUGUCAUGAUGCAUGUGGGACAAAAUCUCAUGCAAGCUGGAUCAAAACUGGGAAAAGGAAAGGUGAAAAGCAUUUUAGAAAAGAAGAUGUACCCAGGCACGUUAAUCUGAGUGAGUCACAAGUGGAUGAUUAUCAAAAUGACCUCCUCUUUCAGGUAUUAAAAUGGUUGUCCAGAAAGUGCAGGGAAAGAGAUUGGAAAUAAAGUAUGGUCAUCAGGAACAAAAACAACUUUUUUUUUCUUGUAAAAAUUAACUAUGAGUUAAGAUCCUGUGUUUGAAUAGGAGUUAAUCACACCUAAUAUUGGCACUUGGAUACUUGGUGAAGCCUCUUUUCUGUGUUGUAAAUCCCAUACAUUAAAGAAAAUGCCCACUGGGAAACAGAAACCAGCCAGAUGUCUAAAACUAAGAUAAGAACAAAAACAGAAGAAAAAAAAAGUACUGGUUCUUCACAAAAUUGAGCAAUUGAACAACUUGAGGAUUGGAGUUAUGGACUUUUUAGUUUUAUUUUCUGUUUCACAAAGAAACUCACCCAUAUAAUGAAUAGCACUGAUUUGACAAAAGUUAAUGAGUGGAGUGGAUAAAAGCUAGAGAUGUCUAUUUUGCAUUACAAAACAUUUUAAUGUUGUUUUUUUUUUCUGAUUUGGAUCAAAACCAAAUUAAACAUUUAAUGUUUCAGAACUUUUCAUUAUAUGAGGAUAUCACAUAGAAGAAAGGCUGAUUUUUUGAAAAUGAAAUUUUCUCCUCUGUGUAUUUUUCAGUUGUGCCUAAAUUUUAUUAUGCCUACAAUAUUUUACACUAUAUAGAAAGAAUCAAAAUAUUAAAUUAAUUUACUGUAUUUACAUAUAGCUUAUUUAAGGACAUCUGCUUUUCAUUGAAUGCUAUUUGAAACAUCCCUGCUAUUGAGAUUUCUGUAUCUUGUGGUACAUUGGAAAAUUUUGUGUAUGAUUAAUCUUUAUGGGUAUAAAGUUUCCAAAAUAACUGAAAAAAGUUUGACAUGAUAGCAUAUGCUUAGAUACUUCAGACUAAACCCUUCUAAAUGUCAAAAAAAUAAUAUUUUGUUGUUUUUUUUUUUACUAUAGACAAAUAAAAAAAUUCCCAUGAGAAAGAUCGCUUAAGUA
rnacentral:lncRNA from 1 species